rnacentral:rRNA from 1 species
GCCAGACUCCUACGGGAGGCAGCAGUGGGGGAUAUUGCACAAUGGGGGGAACCCUGAUGCAGCGACGCCGCGUGGGUGAAGGAGUGCUUCGGCAUGUAAAGCCCUAUCGGCAGGGAAGAAGCAAGACGGGACCUGACUAAGAAGCCCCGGCUAACUACGUGCCAGCAGCCGCGGUAAUACGUAGGGGGCAAGCGUUAUCCGGAUUCACUGGGUGUAAAGGGAGCGUAGACGGCGACGCAAGUCUGGAGUGAAAGCCCGGGGCCCAACCCCGGGACUGCUCUGGAAACUGCGUCGCUGGAGUACGGGAGGGGCAGGCGGAAUUCCUGGUGUAGCGGUGAAAUGCGUAGAUAUCAGGAGGAACACCAGUGGCGAAGGCGGCUUGCUGGACGAUGACUGACGUUGAGGCUCGAAAGCGUGGGGAGCCAGCAGGAUUAGAUACCCUAGUA